AUUGAACGCUGGCGGCAGGCUUAACACAUGCAAGUCGAGCGGUAACAGAGAGAAGCUUGCUUCCCUGCUGACGAGCGGCGGAUGGGGGAGCAAUGCCUAGGAAUCUGCCGAGUAGAGGGGGAUAACUUGCCGAAAGGUAAGCUAAUACCGCAUACGUCCUACGGGAGAAAGGAGGGGACCUUCGGGCCCUUCGCUAUUAGAUGAGCCGAGGUCGGAUUAGUUAGUUGGUGAGGGAAUGGCUCACCAAGACCGCGAUCCGUAACUGGUCUGAGAGGAUGAUCAGUCACACUGGAACUGAGACACGGUCCAGACUCCUACGGGAGGCAGCAGUGGGGAAUAUUGGACAAUGGGGGGAACCCUGAUCCAGCCAUGCCGCGUGUGUGAAGAAGGUCUUAGGAUUGUAAAGCACUUUAGGUUGGGAGGAAGAGCAGUUAGCUAAUAUUUGACGGUAUUGACGUUACCGACAGAAUAAGCACCGGCUAACUUCGUG
rnacentral:rRNA from 1 species